UUCUUAUUAGAUGAUGACUGUCAUUUGUCAUGUUCUGAUUGAAUGUCGAAUUUAUGGAAGAUGAAAUACAUUGUUGUUGUCAUUGACCAAUCAGAAUAUGACACGUGACCGUCUUUAUUC
rfam:Glycine soja cultivar W05 scaffold4682_22, whole genome shotgun sequence.